rnacentral:misc_RNA from 1 species
GAUGAAGAACGCAGCGAAAUGCGAUAAGUAAUGUGAAUUGCAGAAUUCAGUGAAUCAUCGAAUCUUUGAACGCACAUUGCGCCCCUUGGUAUUCCGGGGGGCAUGCCUGUUCGAGCGUCAUUAUAACCCCUCAAGCUCAGCUUGGUGCUGGGGCCUGCCGACUGGCAGCCCUUAAAAUCAGUGGCGGCGCCAUCUGGCUCUAAGCGUAGUAAUUUCUCUCGCUAUAGAGUCCCGGUGGAUGCUUGCCAGCAACCCCCAACUUUCUAUGGUUGACCUCGGAUCAGGUAGGGAUACCCGCUGAACUUAAGCAUAUCAAUAAGCGGAGGA